rnacentral:lncRNA from 1 species
GCCCCUUUUUAUUUCCUCGUUUUUUUCUUCUCUUCUCUCUUUUUCUAGAGCACACAUCUCUUGAGAUAAUAUAGCAAGUGGUAGUAACAAGAUAACUUGAGCAUUUAUUUCACAAGGGAAAAACAGAAAUGUUUUUGGCUAUUCUCUCCCGGAUUAGGAGUAGAAUGUUUUUGGGUGGUUCUGGAGAUGGAAAUGAGUGGAUAUAUGUGGAUGGU